UACGUAGGUGGCAAGCGUUGUCCGGAAUUAUUGGGCGUAAAGCGCGCGCAGGCGGCCUCUUAAGUCUGAUGUGAAAAGCCCCCCGGCUCAACCGGGGGAGGGCCAUUGGAAACUGGGAGGCUUGAGUAUAGGAGAGAAGAGUGGAAUUCCACGUGUAGCGGUGAAAUGCGUAGAGAUGUGGAGGAACACCAGUGGCGAAGGCGACUCUUUGGCCUAUAACUGACGCUGAGGCGCGAAAAGCGUGGGGGAGCAAACAGG
rnacentral:rRNA from 1 species